GUCCCUGUAGAUUAGUGGUUAGAUCAUCACGUUGUGGCCUCAGCGGGAUUUGAGUCAGGACCGUGAAAACCCAGGCUCGACUCCUGGCCGGCACA